rnacentral:rRNA from 1 species
GAUGAACGCUGGCGGCGUGCUUAACACAUGCAAGUCGAACGGUGAAGCUCAGCUUGCUGGGUGGAUCAGUGGCGAACGGGUGAGUAACACGUGAGCAACCUGCCCCGGACUCUGGGAUAAGCGCUGGAAACGGCGUCUAAUACUGGAUAUGAGCUGCGAAGGCAUCUUCAGCAGCUGGAAAGAUUUUUUGGUCUGGGAUG